rnacentral:tRNA from 1 species
GGGGCUGUGGCUCAGUGGUAGAGUGCUCGCCUGGCAUGUGUGAGGCACUGAGUUCGAUCCUCAGCACCA